CACGCUUCGAAGCCUCGGCACAUCUCGUAACAUCGCUAUCUGGUAGCAUCUGUGGCUGCUGUUGACCUUGUUUUUGGAGUAAAACACGGUGGAAGCUGAAUUAGUGAGGAUGACUCCUGCUCCUGUCAUCUCUAAACUCCUCACACAUCUUUACCUGUACAUGAGGAAAAUCACUCCUGUAGAAUGCAGAUGUUCAGAGGGAGAUGAUGCCACAUCUGGUCCAGCUGAUGGAAGGUGUUGAAGUUCUCUGACUGGCCUCGACUGAAUAUGGUCCUCUCUCUGGAUUUAAGGUUCAGAUGCUCAGUAACAAACUCCACCAAUGUGCCAGCAGGGAAGCUUUAGGUUUAUUAAAUGUUGCUAUGAAGGUAUCGCUGUUUUUCUUUGUGAAUGCAAUGUGCUCCAACUGAAACUUGAAUUAGAACUUAGAAGCAAAUCCUUCCAUCUGAAAGGAUUUAGUUGCAUUAAUAACCUCAUAACAUUCUAAUUUUUAUUCCAGUCUUGGUUGAAAAUAGAAUCUCAGUAUUGAUUCAGGUAAAAACUGAACUUCACAGCAUGUUGGAGCAAAACAACCAGAUGAAAACUGUGAUGGUGUUGGAUUGUCAGACUGUAAUGUUGCAGCUCAAAGCAGCUUUUCUAGCUCAGUUCAUUGUGACAUUCAGCUAUGAAUCAACACAGCAGAUGGUGAUCCAUGCUGUGGAAGUCUCACAUCUCCUGAUUUAAUGGAGCUGCUUUGCACUUUUUAUACUGUUUAUUCACCAACACUUUAUUUAAUAAAAGUCCCAUCUAGUUUUUAUGAGGAAUGUGAUGUUUUACUUUCUCUGUGAAUAACUGGUCUAAUGGAACAGCUGGAAUUGUAACAUCUGUCCUGAUAUUGAUCAUGAAGUAUUGAUCAGAAUACUUAUGGUUAGCAGUCAUCCCUGAAAUUUUAUAUUAAAAUCUUUACUUGUGUUGUGAACUUUGGUAAGAAGCAGAAACGUUAGUGUUGCCAUGGAUACACGACUGUUAAAUCCUGUCCAUGUUUCCAUUUUGGGAAAUGCAGUCCAGUUCCAGAAUGUGGAGGAAUUUAGUCUCACAAUCACAGACAACAAAUAUUAUCUGAAAGUUGGGUUAUUGUUGUUUAUCAGCACAAUACAAAAAGAUUAAUGUUAGAAAUAUUCCAAUUAACACUCUAGAAUAUCAUGAUUUAUGUAAAUGUACCUCAAUAAUAUGAAUGUUCAGGUUAAGAUUGUACAGUGAUAUUUAUUGUGUAAGUUUAGCUGAUUAAAGUUUAUGACUCUGCACUAAAAUAUUAUUUAAAUUGACAUCAUUAUUAUAAUAUUUAGGGUCAGACUCUACAGUAUUGAGAUUAAGAAAUCAAAUAUUCUGUAAAAUGUAAAUACACUGAACUCAUUUGGAGAUAUUUAAGUGAGACUCUACAAUAUUAUUUGACACAAAUCUAUCUAAAUCAAAAUUUUAAUCAUUUUUACUCCAAACAUUUACUGGACUGAUUUAAAUUUUAAAAUCAUUCCUUUCUAAUCCUCUGCUGUACGUUCAAACCUGAAGCCUUAAAUAGAGAAACAUACAAGUAUCUGAUUGAAGGAACUUCUGCAGAGUCCUGGUUCCAGAACAUGAUGAUAGAAUUAUAGUCAAACUUUAACAAAAGCUGCCUGAGAAUUUAUAGGUUUUUAUGUUGGACUUCUUCAGUAAUUUAAUGAGCGUUAUCAGCAAUAAUCAAGGGUUCAUUUGAUGAACUUCAUUUCCUAAAACAUCCAGAAUUGGAGCUCAUAUCUUUGGCAGCUGUAAAGUUUCUGCUCCUUCAAAGUUCACAACACAAUGAAUGAAUUCCUAAAACACUCUCAAUGCUGGAGAGCGUUUGUGAUGCUGAAGCAGUGACCAGUUUUUCUGUUUCUUCUCUGGAGAUGCACAAUGAGGGACAUCUGCAGCGACUGAGAAAGAGUCUCACCACAUCCUGACAUGAGGAAAAAGACUUUAUUGAAGACUACAAUGAGAAAAACUAUCCAGACAGCAGACGGCAUGCAUUCAAGGUGAGCUCUGAACAUUUGAUCUGGAACAGGAAUUCAAUAACAGCAGCAUGAGCUUCAUUUCAGUCUGUAGCUGCUGAAUUCAUGGAUGAUUCAUCUGGCACUAGAGAGGAAGACCAUCAAACAUCCACGUCAGCUGAUGAAGGUCCAAGAGUCUCACGGAACAACCAACCUACAGAGUGAAGACCUCUAACCUGAUUGGAUGGCUUCCUAUUCAGCCACGUGUGAACAAAUGCCUCGAAGCUGAUUGGUUUUCUAAAAUAAAUCUAGUUUGAGUCCUA
ensembl:lncRNA